ACCAUGGCAACCAGACCUGAGGCUGUUCUUAUAAACUCACCUGCUUCUCUGAAACUGAACCAGUGUGACGACAACCCUGGAGGAACGUGCUUCAGUUUGGAGGCUGGACGUGAUGCGACUGUUUUUCCAUUUAGUGCAUCUUCUUCUGCUGGAAACUGAAAGUACUUGAGGGCUGGAAAUUUACAUCCUUUGACAGCCGCCUCGUUUCAUUCCCACGUGAGAUCGGAGGCGAAAAGGUGAGACGUUCACAGAGUCGUAGAAGCAAACAUCAGAGAGAGAUAAGAAUCACUCAGCUGUGACAUUAAACACUUGACCUGGAAUCAUCGGAGCACUGAAAGGAAACAUGUAGCGAUGAUGUCAUCUGACAAACCGGUUUCCUGACAAGAAAUCAAACACGACAGCUCAAAGACUGAAGACGUCUGAGGGAGUCGCUGACAGAACGCUGCCGUGAGUUCAACAGGUGGAUCAGAACUCACCUGGACUCUGACAGCCAAUCAGAGAGUUCAACAGGUGGAUCAGAGCUCACCUGGACUCUAACAGCCAAUCAGAGAGUUCAACAGGUGGAUCAGAGCUCACCUGGACUCUAACAGUCAAUCAGAGAGUUCAACAGGUGGAUCAGAGCUCACCUGGACUCUAACAGCCAAUCAGAGACUCCGGCAUAAACAGCAGAGCAACGCUUCAAUCGUUUCCGGUGUCUGUGAUGAACUGUUGUUUCUCUGACAGUGAGGAGAUGAUGUGCAGGAUUCUGCUGCUGCUCAGCUUCAGCUCCAGUGUCUCUGGAGUCCUGUCCUUUAACAAGGCUUUACACUAUGAGGCUGAGGAGAACAGCAACGUCACCGUGGAGUGGAGCUUCGCCUUGACAACCGGCCUCAGCAUCUCCUCCCUGAAGAUCCACUGUUUGCUGCUCCCUGACCUGCAGGUGUUUUAUCACCUGGACCACAGCGUGGAGGAGCCUCAGCACCAGCGGUUUGCUGGACGGGUCCAAUGCGACACAGAGGCUCUGACUGCAGGACGAGUCCGGCUGCUUCUGUCCAGGACCAGGACAGACGACUCGGGCCGCUACCUGUGCAGGAUGGUCACCGGGUUUGGCAAGGAGGUCAGAGAGUUCUGGCUCAACGUCACCGCUGCAACAGUCAGAACCACACCUGAACCUCCCAGUGCGGUCAGAACCUUGCUGCUGGUUGCCAUGGCAGCAGGGGUGGUGGUUCUGUUGACCUCCUGCUGCCUGGUGCUCCACUGACGUCCGAUCUGAGUCUAACGAGGAUCUGGCGCCCUCUUGCUGCUCCAGAAGGAACCUGCAGGUGAGUCACACCUGGCUCUGCUGCAGAAGCUUCACCGCAGAGUUGUGGUUCUGGACCGACCCGGUUCCGUGGAGGCGGGACCGCAGCGUUCUUGUUUACCUGCCUGGAGGAGCUCUUGAAGCUCAGGUGAUCACAGAUGUUCUCGCUGAUGUUUAAAAGUGAAACCGGUUUACGGGGACUUUGGUGUAAAUGUGAAUGUUUUCAGACAGAAUUCACUAAAUCUGUUCCUCAACUUUCUGUGAUCCUCUUCGGUUUACGUUUUCCAUAUCUGGGUUUUCACGUGUUGGUUAAAUAAACGUUGCAGUAACCGUUCUGUAAUCUUCAUGUCAGUGGAUCAUGGAUUGUAAAUACAUAAAGUAAUGAUACAAGUCUUCACCUGAAUAAUCAACACUGACUUUAUGUUUUGGAAUAUUUAUACUUUGUCUGUCGAUAAAUGUACUUUUUUUCUUUUAAAUAUUAAAAAAAAUGCUUUUAUUGCAAGUAGUGCUUUUAUUUUCAGGCUACAUUUCUCUUUUAAUGCUGCAGUAAGGGGACCAAGCAAACAUACACGAGGAUUUGUUUUGAUAGUUGCCUUUUUUUUGUUGCAUGAAUAAAAACCAGAUUUGGUGUUUAGAGUGUGUCACCUGGAGUGGAUGUAAAACUGGUCUGGUGUCAGUUUUAACCAGAACUCUGAUGUGUUUGUCUUCCUAAAAUGCCAUGUGUCUGACUCCUCGUCACACUUUGAAUCAGAAAACAAAGAUUAUGACUUCUUGAUGAACAACAUCCUCAUCUUCGGGACAUUUUAUAUACACAAAUGCAAAUCCAUGAUGGUAAAUCCUAGAUUUUAUGUGUUUCAUGAGGAGUUUCUGUCCUUCACUAAAGCCCUUAAAAAUGAAGUCUAAACAUGCAAUGAAACUGUUCAAUGUGAUUGAGAAUUACGAUCUGCAAAAAAACGCCUUAGCUCUAUGUUUUGUUCUGUUUUAUUUAUAUUUAUUUAUUUUUUUUCCUUUUUUGCUUUGAUUCUAUUUCAUUCUCUGACUGCGCUUCAUAUAAUUUUCAAGAACUGCCUCUUUUAAUAGAUUUAUAUAAUAUUUUACUGCACUGGAAGCACCUGUUCGUUAUAAAAAAUGCCUUUGUAGAGACUGUAUUCUACAGUGUUUUGUUAAAUGAUUUUGUCAAUAAAGG
ensembl:lncRNA